GUCAGGCUACUGACCUGAACAUGACAAAUAUUAGGAAAGAGACUCUGUGACAGUUCUGCUACUCGGAAGAAACUACUGCUCAGUAUUCAAGUCUGUUCAUGAUUGCCCAAACCUGGUCUUUGCCCUGCCAUCCGUCUGCGAUGUUUAUAUUUUCAAAGUAGAGGAUUUCACCUCCAAUGCAAUUCAUGGCGCUGUUUUAGAGUUUUUCAGAGUAGACUGGAGGCUUUCAAGGUGUGGUAACAUUCCGAGACCUUCUCCAUUCACCUAAAGAACGCUACAAUUCUCAAAAAUAUCUUGUGUUUCCCUAGCACAGCCUAGAAAAGGACAGGGAAGUCAGUCUCUUAGAAGUCAAGAUGGAAAAUACAAGAGAAUAUCUAGAUGAAGCUUUGGGUAGGAAAAGAAAAUCACCGAAACACUUGGCAAGCAGGUCUCGAGUUCCUUCUCUCUUCCAUCAAACAUCAGAAAAAUUUGUGUAUUGUAUUUAAAACCUCAUCUCCUGCUGGGUCCUGUAGAACUCAGUAAGUAGCAUGGGAAAUUUUGUUGUGUGCUCUUGCCCACGAUCGGAAGAGCACACG